UAUUUCCUAGUUUACCAUUGUGUAUAUAAAGCUAAGAGAAAAGAGGGUUAUUGUCGGUAUUGACAGUGUAAUAAACAGUACCAGAUCUACAGAAAAGAGGGUUAUGGGUCGGUGUUGACAGUGUAAUAAACAGUACCAGAUCUACAGAAAAGAGGGUUAUGGGUCGGUGUUGACAGUGUAAUAAACAGUACCAGAUCUACAGAAAAGAGGGUUAUGGGUCGGUGUUGACAGUGUAAUAAACAGUACCAGAUCUACAGAAAAGAGGGUUAUGGGUCGGUGUUGACAGUGUAAUAAACAGUACCAGAUCUACAGAAAAGAGGGUUAUGGGGUUAUGUUGACAGUGUAAUAAACAGUACCAGAUCUACAGAAAAGAGGGUUAUGGGUCGGUGUUGACAGUGUAAUAAACAGUACCAGAUCUACAGAAAAGAGGGUUAUGGGUCGGUGUUGACACUCUAAUAAACAGUACCAGCUCUACAGAAAAGAGGAUUAUGGGUCGGCGUUGACAGUGUAAUAAACAGUACCAGCUCUACAGAAAAGAGGGUUAUGGGUCGGCGUUGACAGUGUAAUAAACUGUACCAGCUCUAGAGCAUCUCACGUCUGGAAAUACAUUUUGGAGGUGACAUGAUCGCGAAGUCACCGCUACAAUCCUGUUUGUAUGUACAGUAUAGCUGUCCUACUUUUCUUGCUAUUUGUCAAAAGUUAUUCGUCAGGUUCCUCUUUUGAGUGUGUACAGUUGAAGUCGGAAGUUUACAUACACCUUAGCCAAAUACAUUUAAACUCAGUUUUUCACAAUUCCUGACAUUUAAUCACAGUAAAAAUUCCCUGUCUUAGGUCAGGUAGGAUCACCACUUUAUUUGAAGAAUGUGGAAUGUCAGAAUAAUAGUAGAGAAAAUGAUUUCUUUCAGCUUUUAUUUCUAUCAUCACAUUCCCAGUGGGUCAGAAGUUUACGUACACUAAAUCAGCAUUUGGUAGCAUUGCCUUUAAAUUGUUUAACUUGGGUCAAACAUAUCGGGUAGCCUUCCACAAGCUUCCCACAAUAAGUUGGGUGAAUUCUGGCCAAUUCCUCCUGACAGAGCUGGUGUAACUGAGUCAGGUUUGUAGGCCUCCUUACUCGCACACGCUUUUUAAGUUCUGCCCAUAGAUUUUCUAUAUGAUUGAGGUCAGGGCUUUGUGAUGGCCACUCCAAUACCUUGACUUUGUUGUCCUUAAGCCAUUUUGCCACAACGUUGGAAGUAUGCUUGGAGUCAUUGUCCAUUUGGAAGACUCAUUUGCAACCAAUCUUUAACUUCCUGACUGAUGUCUUGAGAUGUUGCUUCAAUAUAACCAUAAUUUUUAUUCCUCAUGUAACCAUCUAUUUUGUGAAGUGCACCAGUCCCUCCUGCAGCAAAGCACCCACACAACAUGAUGCUGCCACCCCCGUGCUUUACGGUUGGGAUGGUGUUCUUCGGCUUGUAAUCCUCCCCCUUUUUCCUCCAAAAAUAACAAUGGUCAUAAUGGCCAAACAGUUAUAUUUUUGUUUCAUCAGACCAGAGGACAUUUCUCCAAAAAGUACCAUCUUUGUCCCCAUGUGCAGUUGCAAACUGUAGUCUGGCUUUUUUUAUGGCAGUUUUGGAGCAGUGGCUUCUUCCUUGUUGAGCGACCUUUCAGGUUAUGUCGAUAUAGGACUCGUUUUACUGUGGAUAUAGAUACUUUUGUACCUGUUUCCUCCAGCAUCUUCACAAGGUCCCUUGCUGUUGUUCUGAGAUUGAUUUGCACUUUAAGCACCAAAGUACGUUCAUCGAUAGGAGACAGGAUGUGUCUCCUUCCUGAGCGGUAUGAUGGCUGCGUGGUCCCAUAAUGUUUAUACUUGCAUACUAUUGUUUGUACAGAUGAACGUGGUAUCUUCAGGCAUUUGGAAAUUGCUCCCAAGGAUGAAACAGACUUGUGGAGGUCUACCAUUUUUUUCUGAGGUCUUGGCUGAUUUCCUUUGAUUUUUCCAUGAUGUCAAGCAAAGAGGCACUGAGUUUGAAGGUAGGCCUUGAAAUACAUCCACAGGUACACCUCCAAUUGACUCAAAUUAUGUCAAUUAGCCUAUCAGAAGCUUCUAAAGCCAUGACAUCAUUUUCUGGAGUUUUCCAAGCUGUUUAAAGGCACAGUCAACUUAGUGUAUGUAAACUUCUGACCCACUGGAAUUGUGAUACAGUGAAUUAAUUAUAAGUGAAAUAAUCUGUAAACAAUUGUUGGAUAAAUUACUUGUGUCAUGCACAAAGUAGAUGUCCUAACCGACUUGCCAAAACUAUAGUUUGGUAACAAGAAAUGUGUGGAGUGGUUGAAAAACUACUUUUAAUAACUCCAACCUAAGUGUAUGUAAACUUACAACUUCAACUUUAUGUACGCUUGUGUCAAAACUGUCGUUCCGCCGCUCGACAUUGUAAAAUAAAGCAUUAUGACUAAUUUCAGAGCAAUAUAAAAAUACAAAGUGUUCAGGUAAUUACAAGCUGUUAUGCAUCACCAAAGUUUUCAAUCGCUAAACAAGUGUGUCAUUGCCUGUAACUGUCCAUUGUUGUACACAGAAUAAAUAUACAGAAACA